CCUACGGGAGGCAGCAGUGGGGAAUAUUGCACAAUGGGGGAAACUCUGAUGCAGCGACGCCGCGUGAGCGAUGAAGGCUUUCGGUAUGUAAAGCUCUAUCAGCAGGAAAGAAAACGACGGUACCUGACUAAGACUCCACGGAUCACUCCGUGCCAGCACGCGCGGUACUACGCCGGGGGCAAGGGUUAUCCGGAUGUACUGGGUGUAAAGGGAGCGUAGACGGUCAGACAAGCCAGAUGUGAAAGCCCGGGGCUCAACCUCGGGACUGCAUUUGAUACUGUAAGGCUAGAGUGUAGGAGAGGCAGGCGGAAUGCCUAGUGUAGCGGUGAAAUGCGUAGAGAUUAGGAGGAACACCAGUUGCGAAGGCGGCCUGCUAGGCGAUGACUGACGUUGAGGCUCGAAAGCGUGGGGAGCAAACAGGAUUAGAUACCCCAGUAGUC
rnacentral:rRNA from 1 species